UACGUAGGGGGCUAGCGUUGUCCGGAAUCAUUGGGCGUAAAGAGCGUGUAGGCGGCCCGGUAAGUCCGCUGUGAAAGUCCAGGGCUCAACCCUGGGAUGCCGGUGGAUACUGUCGGGCUCGAGUCCGGAAGAGGCGAGUGGAAUUCCUGGUGUAGCGGUGAAAUGCGCAGAUAUCGGGAGGAACACCUAUGGCGAAGGCAGCUCGCUGGGACGUUACUGACGCUGAGACGCGAAAGCGUGGGGAGCAAACAGG
rnacentral:rRNA from 1 species